rnacentral:misc_RNA from 1 species
GAACUGCAAAGGAAUACAAAGCUGUAAUAUCAAAGAUUAGCAAGACUAAUCCUUUCUAGGGCCAGAGUUAUGUACAUAUAAUAGCUUUAGAACACAUCGUUUAUGGCUAACAUAACAGAAUUCCUAUGAACUAAAACCUUGACUAACAAACAUGUUUCAGAUACUUCUAUGCUGGCACCCAACACGAGCUAGCGCAUACUACCCGGCCUUUCCAACCCUGUAACAUCCAUUUACCAUCCUCAUCAAACACAAAAUCGCGGAGGUAUCCAGCCUUUACCUUGCACCUUAACUUCUGCACGAGUUGUUGGUUCAACGGAAGAAUCUUGAAUCCAGCCCUCAUAUUGCGAACCUGCCAUUGCUUGUACGUCUCAGGCCUCUCAACCCUCUCGGAACCCUCACAAGCAAUGACAUUCAUUGCCUCGCGUCUGUAAAAUUCUUGUUCAAAAUGCAACCUCUUCUGAUCACCACGGGGUAAGGUAGCAUCAAACAUGUCAAAGAGAGUUGAGUAAUGGAAGAGGGCCUCCCUGAAGCGAGUGACAAAGAAGGGUGCACUGUAAGAUCCAUUGAUUACAGCUUGCACGAAGAUAUCCGGAUUCAUCUUUCUAAUUAAGCCCAGAACUGCAUCCCUUGGACUGUCCAACAUCACUGUCUCAUCCAACAGGUUCUUAAAACGAAAAAGACAGUUCACAGCAACAGUCUCACCACUUGCAAGUUUCAAGUCCUCAAGUUUGAUGUUCUCCCAAUUCUGUGUUGCUAUGGCAUUAUAUUCAAAUGGUACUUUAAAGCGCUCACAAUAUUUUGCCAAUCGGCUCCCUGUCUGUUCUAAGCUUUCUGCCGGCCUGAAUCCAGGUUGGGGAAGGUCUAUUCCAGUAAUGCGAAGCUUUGGAGGCCCAUCAGGUAUCUCUGAGAGAAGCUGGAUGAGUAUUGGCCACUGGAAACCAUAUAGUAUACCAAAAUCUAUGAGAUGCAAUGUCCUGGCAUUAGAUGCUGUGUAGAAGAUCAUUUUAUUCGCAAAGAAUAUUGAUAUUUUCUUGAACGGGCAUGCCGAAAGAUAAACCUGGUAUGCUUUCAAUUUCUCAGCAGCUGUAAUCUUUUUCGGAGCAAGGGCAGCAUAUAUUUGAGUGCCAGUGCCAGCCAACCGGGCUUCAAGGCCAUCCGCAAAUACACUGGCCAGCCUUUGGUAUGCAUCACCAAUGGAAGAACAAUGCUGCCUGAUCUGCUUUAGCUGUUCAUAUGCUGUCCUGCGAUCGUCAGCAGCAACAGACUGUGCACAGCUAACUAAGAGAGUCCUUAGAUCCACAGCUUCAUUUUUAGUCCCUUGUUUCUUUGCACGAGUGUUUCCACCAUUUGAUCCAUGUGCUUGUCCAUUCUGGUCUAAACUAUUGUCUACUGGCAUUUCACACUUGACAUCACCACAUAUUGUCUCACCUUUAUCUGUACAGAGCAGAACCCUGUCAAACAUCUCUGAUAACUCAGCCUCCUCCUCCACAUAUAUUGCUGAUUGUUUGUUGCUCCUUUCAUCUUCAAAAUCACUGUCCUCAGGAUACUGAUGUUUU